GACGAACGCUGGCGGCGUGCUUAACACAUGCAAGUCGAACGAAGAGCGAUGGAAGCUUGCUUCUAUCAAUCUUAGUGGCGAACGGGUGAGUAACGCGUAAUCAACCUGCCCUUCAGAGGGGGACAACAGUUGGAAACGACUGCUAAUACCGCAUACGAUCUAAUCUCGGCAUCGAGGAUAGAUGAAAGGUGGCCUCUACAUGUAAGCUAUCACUGAAGGAGGGGAUUGCGUCUGAUUAGCUAGUUGGAGGGGUAACGGCCCACCAAGGCGAUGAUCAGUAGCCGGUCUGAGAGGAUGAACGGCCACAUUGGGACGGAGACACGGCACAGACGCCUACGGGAGGCAGCAGUGGGGAAUCUUCCGCAAUGGACGAAAGACUGACGGAGCAACGCCGCGUGAGGGAUGACGGCCGUCGGGUUGUAAAGCUCGGUUAAUCGGGACGAAAGGCCUUCUUGCGAAUAGUGAGAAGGAUUGACGGUACCGGAAUAGAAAGCCACGGCUAACUACGUG
rnacentral:rRNA from 1 species